UAGAAAUUAGUUUAAAUAAAAUAUUAAAUUGUCAAUUUAAAGAUCUCUUGAUUUCUAG
rnacentral:tRNA from 1 species